GCGGGAGUUGCCAAGCAUGGUCAAAGGCGCGAGGCUCAGAACCUCGUCUCUCAGGGGUCCGUGGGUUCAAAUCCCACCUCCCGCA
rnacentral:tRNA from 1 species